UUUUUAAUCAUAUAAUCUAAGGAAAAUAAAUCAUAUUUUUCUUCAACAUGCUGCUUUUAUAUUUUGACUUCAGCCCAGCAACAACGGCCUUAGGAACAACGUCUAUUUAUUUAAUUUUUUUUUUUUUUUUUUUUUUUGGCAAAUUUCCAGCUACAGUAUGUUUAUUGGCCCGGUUCAAAAGGAACACUUGCACGAUAUGAGCCUGGGCUUUGGCUGGCCCUGUGGAUCGUUGGGUGGUUCCUGCAUUGUCAGAGGAUGAAUCCCUAUCGCGAGAGGACACAGCAGCGCCAACUCGCACACAAGCUAAAAAUACAUGUAUAAAUUCAGGCACAGCAAUAAGACGUUGUUCCACACGCCAUUAAAAUAAUAAUAAAUAUAAAUUUAAUAUAUUAUA